GCGGCUGUAGCUCAGUAGGCAGAGCGCGACAUUGCCAUUGUCGAGGCCCCCGGUUCGAACCCGGGUAGCCGCU
rnacentral:tRNA from 1 species